ACGACAUGAUAGGGACAUUUUCGGAUCAAAUCCUUUAAUCUUUCCCAUGACUCAUGGAACUGCUCACCAUCUUGUUGUGAAAAGCUAGUGAGAGCUCGCCUUAUUUG
rnacentral:snoRNA from 1 species